GAUUCCACUUUAUAACUUUCAUACAUCCAGACCAGUGGACCAUUCAAGAAGGAGAGGAAGGUAGGGAAGAAAUAAGGAAGGAAGUAAGGAAGGAUACAUUUAUCUGUUGGAACAUGGUCACAGUCUCCGGGCGUACGAGCGACAGUGGGCGCGCGCACAAAUACACACAUCCCAGACAACAUGCACUAAACCUCUGUCCAAACUUUCCUCCCCUUCAGUCUGUGCGUGCCUCGCCAAGUCGUGAGAGCGCAAGAAGAACUUUCCGGCACGGCUUAAAUUCCGCUACCAAGGUGCACCAUGGGAAACAAGAUCAGCAGGAGACGGGACACCGCACCAGCCGAGCAGAAGGCUGCAGAGGCAAUCGACACGCAGGAAGCUGUGGUGGAGGCAGUAGCUGAUGCGCCAGUGGUGGUUGCAGAGGCGAAUGAACCAGUAGUAGAAUCAGUGCCAGAACCGGUACAGGAGCCAGAGCCCCCCAAGCAGCCAGAGACGGAGCCCUCAUUGGAGGAGCCGGUGAGCGUCCCACUAGUAGCCCCAGCACCGCCUGAACACGAGCCCCUGGUGUCAGUCAGCGAGCCAAAGCCAGUCGCCCCAGAGCCAAAGCCAGUCGCCCCGGAGCCAAAGCCAGUCGCCCCGGAGCCAAAGCCAGUCGCCCCGGAGCCAAAGCCAG